CUUCGUGAAGCCUCAGCCCCUCCAGAGAGGCGGGGUGUCCUUGUGCCGCUGGGCCUCCCCGCGUCUCCCCAGGGCCCGUGUGGUGCCCGUGACCAGUGGAGGGAGGAAACAGUGAAGAAGGGUCUCAGUGGUGCCAGGCCUGGCGCUGCACUGGGCUCUCGAGGCCGCUCCCGUAGGCCCUAGCCGCUCCACCAGGGAGGAGGUGACUGCCCACACUGAUCCGGCCCCGGGGGCUGGAACACCUGCCCCUGGGCUCCAGACGCUGAGAGAAAUCAUGUGUUUUAAAAAGUUUGUGGGGACCAUCUGUGGAUGAAGUCAGGCGCAACCGGCCUGGGGGGUGGCCGACACCUCCCUCGGAAACGUAGAGCCCAAAGGGGGUCUGGCUGCAGCCGUGCUGCCCUGGAAAGGGGCUCUCCCCGGGACAGCCCCAGAGCAGGGAGGCCCGGCCUUGAGUCCAGUCCAGAGCCCCUGCCCCCCCUUCAGCAGGCCUGGACUCCCAGAAGCAGCCUCUCCAGGCAGCCCGGGGUCCCCGCAACCCUGGGAACGGUGUGCAAGGCUCAGGACACCCCAAGCAGGAUCCCAGUCGUCCCCACGCCUGCCUACACCUCCCCUGGCCUCACCCCUCAACUGCAAGCCCCCGCAUUGCAGGCGCCUCUUCACGUGCAGGGUGAGGCCUCGGCCCCUGAGAACACCACAGCUGGGAGAGCCCCACGAGGCAGGGUGACCAGCCCUGUACUGGCCCCACCCCUGGCCUUCCCCGGGCGACCUCCAACUGUCCAUCACUGGACCGAGAAAGGGUCACUACAGCACUUCAGGAAAGGCAAGGGUGAGGCCGAAAUGCAGAGGGUGCCCCCUACUGGAGAGAACCCCACAAAGCACAGCCCCCCCCCCAAGCCCUUGAUGACUAUGCAGGCCGGGAGGGCUGGAGGAGGGCCCGUCUCUGCUCUCCACCUCUGUCCCCACCUUGUCCCUCCUCCAGGCAGCUCCCAGAUCCUCUUCCUAAGGGGCUGUAAGCUCAACUCCUGGAGGCCUUGAGAGCGGUUAGGAGGGAGGGAAUAAACUGAUGGAGCCCUGAGACAGGGGGCCAGGUACAGGUGGGCUAGGGCCGGCCCACCUUGGCCUGUGUGCCCCAGAGAGAGGCUGCGGGCAGUGAGCGCUGACAUUCUGGGGGGCUCAGGACAUGCUGGCACAGGCCUCCAAGCCACACCUCGCCGAGCAUUUUGGUGCCUAUUCGGCACGUGCUGUAAUGAGGCUUUGUGGCCAUUUUUCAAGCUUUCUCCUCUAGCAGAGCACGAUGUAGUCCUGUAGGAAGAGCACAAGCCUUGUUAGAAUCAGCUCCACCGUUUCGAAGCUGUGCUGCUUCCAGGAGGCUGCUUAACAUCUCUGAGCCUCAUUUUCUCAUCCAUAAAGUAGGAUGAUGACAUCCGCAUCCCGGGAAUGCUGUGAAAAUUAACAUGGGAAACCGCCUAGUGGCAUACAACCUAAUACAGACUGUGCUCUCAAGGGUGGUUGUGGGUGUCACUGUGUAGUGGGUUGAAUGGUAACCCCCUCAAGAAAAUACAUACCUCCACCUGGAA